rfam:Soil-borne wheat mosaic virus (SBWMV) complete RNA 2 segment: 84 kDa readthrough protein, 19 kDa capsid protein and 19 kDa cysteine-rich protein genes, complete cds.
GGCGUUCUACAGUACGUUUAAACUGUAGG